GCUGGUCUUUCUAGCGAAGUGGCACCACCUCUUCCCAUUCCGAACAGAGAAGUGAAACGCUUCAGCGCCUACGAUACUGGAUAUGUUCCGGGACAAUAGGUCAAGGCCAGCA
rnacentral:rRNA from 2 species